GUCCCUGUAGUUCAAUGGAUAGAACUGCAGCCUUCUAAGCUGCUGAUCUAGGUUCGAUCCCUAGCGGGGACA
rfam:Parcubacteria bacterium GW2011_GWA2_43_13 TV70_C0009, whole genome shotgun sequence.